GGAUAUAUUAUAAACCACCUAAUGUAAAUAUUAAUGAGGAAGAACUGCUGUUAGAGCAAAUUGAGAAAGCUGCAAAUCGAGGUAACACGUUAAUUAUUGGAGAUUUUAAUUACCAGGACAUAAAUUGGGAUAGAGUGACUAGUACUUCCGCAAGGGGAAUCCGGUUUUUGAAUGUUUUAAAUGACACCUUUAUGUCACAACUGGUACAAACACCAACUAGAAAGGAUGCUUGUCUGGAUCUCGUUAUAACAAACGAUGUUGAUCUUUUAACCAACAUUCAAGUAGGGGAACA